AGUGAACGCUGGCGGUAGGCCUAACACAUGCAAGUCGAACGGCAGCACAGUAAGAGCUUGCUCUUACGGGUGGCGAGUGGCGGACGGGUGAGGAAUACAUCGGACUCUACUUUUUCGGGGGGGAUAACGUAGGGAAACUUACGCUAAUACCGCAUACGACCUACGGGUGAAAGCAGGGGAUCUUCGGACCUUGCGCGAUUGAAUGAGCCGAUGUCGGAUUAGCUAGUUGGCGGGGUAAAGGCCCACCAAGGCGACGAUCCGUAGCUGGACUGGGAGGAUGGUCGGCCACACUGGAACUGGGACACGGUCCAGACUCCUACGGGAGGCACCAGUGGGGAAUAUUGGACAAUGGGCGCAAGCCUGAUCCAGCCAUCCCGCGUGGGUGAAGAAGGCCUUCGGGUUGUAAAGCCCUUUUGUUGGGAAAGAAAAGCAGCAGGUUAAUACCCCGCUGUUCUGACGGUACCCAAAGAAUAAGCACCGGCUAACUUCGUG
rnacentral:rRNA from 1 species